rnacentral:misc_RNA from 1 species
UUUCAUUUUUGUCUCGUAGCAUUAUUGGUAGUUUUAUUGUUUUCAGUGUUUUUGUUUUGUUUUUUUAAUAAGAUGUCAAUCGAAGCUAAAGAAAAGAAUGGUGCUACUUGUGUGACUUGGAAAACGUUACAAAGUCUCGCAUUUUCGAGCAGAGAAAUAAGUGAAACGUUCGAACUGAACACUCAAGGACGAAGCAACUUUUCCUUUAAAGUUUCAUUUACUCACUGCUUUAAGUUCAAUUGUUUAAGUUUAAAUACUGUUUGCAUUAAACUGUGCUUAUCGCUGAUCAAGUGCUCUACCAACACUAUUAGUUUGUGUGGAGGAAAAGACACCAUCUUUAAUUGUGACCAUAAUCUGCCUUGCUCUGUUUGGGUUACAAUCAACAAUGAUGAAGACAGAAGAAUAAAUUUGGAAAAAGCUGUUGGAUCAGACGAGUGGACUUCAAGAAAAUUUGGUAUCAGAACAUUUGGCUACCCAACCUUCCACUUUUGGUUGCAGUUCAGGACUGAUGAGAUUAACAAGUCCAGCAAAAUCAUCAUGAAACAGCUGACGGACGCCCAGCAAACACCAUUAGCCGAAGAUAAAGACAACGUGAAAGUUCCCAAGUCCAAGGAGUUCUGUCGUGGCAAGCUGAUUGCGCAGCAACUGGAGAAAGUGUUUGUCGAGCAAACGAACUGCGAUGUCGAAUUCUUGUUCGAAGACGAGGAGAAAAUCGGUGGCCAUAUCUCCAUCUUGGCUGCCAGAAGUCCCGUUUUCUCUGCCAUGUUUUACCACAACCUUCAAGAGUCCGAGACGGGCAAAAUCUUCGUCCAAGACAUCCGGCCACAGAUUUUCAAGGAGAUGCUUCACUAUAUUUACUCCGGCCAGACUUUGACUCCUUUGACGGACGCCAUCGCUCAACCUCUGUUCGUACUUUCAGUCAAAUACGAUAUCGAGGACCUGAAGGAGAAGUGCGUCCGUUAUCUGCUGAGAAGCGUUCGGACGAGUAAUGCCGUUGACUUAUUGGUCUGGGCAAAUCUUCAUUCGGUGGAGAAAAUCGAAGAAGCAGCUCUUGACUUUGUGGCCAGAAAUUUCAAAAUCAUUUGUCAGUCGAAUGAAUGGGAGAACCUGAUGAAGAACUAUCCGGAGCUUGGAUUCCUGGUGGCUCGACGUUAUGUAGCUGUUUAAGAAAUACGCCAGCCGAAGAGUUUUGUAUAACUUAAAAUGCGGUUCCAGCGUCACCGCCAAAAUCCACAUGUGUUCACGAUCCUCGCAAUAACAACACGUACACCAUGAUACUGGACACUUGAGCAAGCUAAGGUUGCAGAGAAAUA